GAGGUGUGUAUUAGGAGGUUCUGCAGCAGCUGAGGUGUGUAUUAGGAGGUUCUGCAGUCACAGGAUUCCUAUAGCCUCUGUAUAUGACAAGAUGAAAUUACAUAGCAACAAGCCGUGCAUAGCAACGGGCGACAUUCACUUCACUGCUGGAGACCGCGUCGUCUUCUGCAGUUUCUUAGUUACCGGGAAACUUAGUAAUGGGGUGUAAGGGAACACCCGCCAGCAACCGCCAGUACACGGGGGUCUGAGUGUGGGGGACCCUAUAACACCCCC